rnacentral:rRNA from 1 species
GGGCAAUGGCCGCAGCCUAACACAUGCAAGUCGAGCGGUAACAGGAGAAAGCUUGCUUUCUUGCUGACGAGCGGCGGACGGGUGAGUAAUGUAUGGGGAUCUGCCCGAUAGAGGGGGAUAACUACUGGAAACGGUGGCUAAUACCGCAUAAUGUCUACGGACCAAAGCAGGGGCUCUUCGGACCUUGCACUAUCGGAUGAACCCAUAUGGGAUUAGCUAGUAGGUGGGGUAAAGGCUCACCUAGGCGACGAUCUCUAGCUGGUCUGAGAGGAUGAUCAGCCACACUGGGACUGAGACACGGCCCAGACUCCUACGGGAGGCAGCAGUGGGGAAUAUUGCACAAUGGGCGCAAGCCUGAUGCAGCCAUGCCGCGUGUAUGAAGAAGGCCUUAGGGUUGUAAAGUACUUUCAGCGGGGAGGAAGGUGAUAAGGUUAAUACCCUUAUCAAUUGACGUUACCCGCAGAAGAAGCACCGGCUAACUCUGUGCCAGCAGCCGCU